GAGCCUGCGACGCACGGGCGAACAGAAUUUUUUUUUUUUUUUUUGCAAACAAAAAAAACACGAGGGCCCUCCUCAAUGCGUACAGCGGCGCCGCCGGCCCGGCUUGCGGCCGCCCUGUUCUUGUUUCCCUUCCCAUCCGCCCCAAUCUUCCCAAGCCUCCUCGACCUCCGACCUCCUGCUGUCGUCCGUCUCUGACUUGGAUCCAAGUCGGAGUCCGUGCGACGUUGCCGUUCUGUCCGCAUCUUACUCCACCCCUUGGCGAUGAGCGUCGGAGCCAAGGAGCGGAUUCAGGGAUGUCGCGGUCGUGCGAGAGUGGGGGCGGGCAGACAGGGGAUGGGGACUUGGGGAGCAAGAGCAUGGGAAAGGAGGCUAUAGGAGCAGGGUUAUGGAGUUGAUUGUUCAUCCGUGGUGAACAUUGUUGAUGGCAAGUCAAUUGCGGAGGACAUAAGGAUGUAGAUUGUUGAACAAGCUCGUCAAAUGAAAAAAAGCAGUUGGACACGUUCCUGGGCUAGCUGUUGCGCUGAUAGGCAAUAGAAGGGACUUUCAAUCCUUUGGGCGAUUUAAUUAAAUUGUAGACUUGUGAGGAAAUUGGGAUGAAUUCUUUGUUGUCAGAGUUGCCUGGGAACUGCGUCGAAGAUGUGGGGUGAUGGAUUUGGUGUUAACAUUCAAUGAAGAUCCAUCUCUUCAUGGCCUGCUUGUUCAGCUAACACUACCACAAGCAAUGUGUUUUACUUUCUGGAUGCAGCCCUAGAAAAGAAUUAUGUUUGGUUUAGUUCAUAGACUGAUGUCAUAAAGUCCUUUUUAGUCUACAUACUAGACAACUGUUUUGAUAUAACUGAAUAAUAGGGAGUAUAUUAGUUCUGAUGGUAAUAGACGACCAACUUCAGUUGUAUUUGAUUUGAGUUUUUGUUAUCAGUACAUGUUGUUGGUCAAGAUUCAACAUUGUUUAUGUCCAUGUUUUGCUGGUAUAAUGCCUCAUCAAGCUUUCUUUUUAUAUGAUGAUAUUGUGUAAAUCAGCAUAUGGAUGAGGAAAAUAUUCUUAGUGGCAGUGGCCUGGAUAAGGAUGCUGAUGGUUUCCAUCCCUUAAACGUUGGUAAUCUUGCCCUCAGAAGCUGGAAACCUGUGUUUGUUUCUUGUGCUACAAUCUGGAUUUAUCUCAUGGAAAGCACGUCUGGUGAAACAAAUGAUCUGUCCUAGUCAGGAAGACAAUGCUGAGGUAGUACAGGUUACAUCUAUGUUCAGAGAUGAGGCUAAGAUAAAAGAUGCUCACAGUUAGUUCAUAGUUUGAGUUCAUGAGGAAGCCAUGGGGGUGGCGGGUGUUUGGUAUGAGGUGGUGUAUGUGCUGCACCUGAUGGCCGUGGCACGCUUCCUGCAUGCCAAUUUACUGCUUCUUCCGAGGUCAUAUAGUGAUGCUAUGGCACAGAGAAUCUGAAGAAUUUACAGUAGCACCAAGCAGGGUUGCGUCCAUCAUCCUCAUCAUGUCUGGUCUAUGCCGCCGGAGCACCAAGUCGCUGGCCUAUUCUAACAAGCCACUCCAGGCCCUCGAGGCAGCCCUUCUCGCCGGGGAAGGAGACCCUGAUCUGUAGGAGCGCCGGGCAUGGCCCCAUAAUUAACAACAAGACUCUCCUCUGUCCGUCUGCAUAACUCCCAUGAAGAAAAAUCUCUAAACUCCAGUCACCACCUUUAUGUCGAUCUAAGUGGUGGAGAGUUUGCUAUGGUGGCAAAUCAGGCAACCGUAGAUGGAGUCAUUCCAUGUUACUGCAUUGAGUUAGCAUAUGUGGCAUGGAUGAUAGAUCAAACCCAAGUGAUUUUGAUUUUCAUGUUGGCUACCUUCUCACAGGCAUGAACAACCGUGUGUGAAUUUGGUUAUUUAGAACAAAAUCUGAUAGUUGGCCAAAUGAAAGUGGUGUUUUCUUGAACUGAAUGACACACAUUUUGCCUAAACAUAAUUCUGUUGCCUAUCACGACCUCAAAGUGCUCCUGAAGCAAGCUGCUGUGUGUUGUGUGUACAAGCUGUACACUGAAUUGUCCAUGCGGAAAGACACAGCAGCAGAUCAUACAAUCUACGCCAUGGAGCCGCUGGUGGAGCUCGACGUGGACGAGCGCCAGAAGGAGCUGUGCAUGAUGCCCAAACGUGGCGCCAAGGCCUUCCCCGUCCGCACCCGAGGUAGGCAACGACUUGCGUCACUACCAAGUUGCUACAAGCAUACAAGGCCUUCCGUGUUCAAGCUGAAAAGGCAAGAAGAUUUCAUUAUUAACAUGGAUAAAAAAGGUGGAUCGUCUUCUUCAGUAGAAGUACACAAUGGUUGGCUGAAGCUUUGGAGUGCUAAAGUUCCAGGAAAGGUAAAAAUACAUCUUUGGUGUAUUUGUUUUCAGAGUAUUUAUGUUGGAGAUGAGCUUAAGAGAAGAAAGUUAAAGAUAUGGUAAGUUGUCCUUGCUGCUUCAUGGGGGAAGCAUUUAUCACUGCUUUUGGGGUUGUUUUUAUGUCAGAGGCCUGGAGAAGCUGUAAGUAAUUUGUGAUUUCUCAUGCCCACUUUUCUCUAAAAGGGUAGGUUGGCUGGUCAUCUAAAAUCGUGGAUCGGAAAUGUUCUUCAUCAAAGCCCAUCCCAAUUGCCAACAAUUCUGUUUGCACACUCAGGUUUCUGCUUUUCUGUGGUGAUUUACUAAACAUACUUUGGCUUAUGAUCCCCCUUGACGUACACUUGUGCCCUCCACUACACAUUAUUUUCAGUUUGCCAAAUACUGUAGUAGGUAAGGAACUACACAAAGUGGAUUGUUGAGUUUGCCAAGCAUAAUGGCACACCUAAUUUUGGCAAAUCACCUGAAGAGUAUAUCAAGCAAAGAUGCUUUGAGAUUUUCGCAUGACUAUAUGAGGUUACCAUAAACUCAUGUAUUGCCACAAUAGCUUCUUUUAAUGCACUAGGGAGUUGUCUUUUUUAUAUCAGGUAAAUAGUUCCUUCCUCACCCGUUUUUCAGACCGAGAUCAUGUGCUGCUGCUGUGUGGUGUUCUAUGCUCUGUUGUGUUCCUUUUUGCUUUUUCUUGGGCUUCUUCUCAUUCUUUGGCACCUACGCUCUGCUUGGGGAAACUUUAUACAUGGCAAUACAUAGAUUGGGAUUCAGAUUUGGAGCAAUUUUGUUCAUUUUGCUUUGUACUGAUGUUGCCAUUAUUGUACAAAGGGAAGAGACAAUUAGAGAGAUGGGUAGAAGUUACUAGCUACUGUAUUUGUAUUGUGAUUGUUUGUUGUCAAAGCUUAUUGUUUAUUGGUUGUUGUUGCAGAUUGUUGUGAUGGAAAGUCAAUUUUGAUUAUUUCAAAGCAAUGUUCGAUUGAAUAAUUUGAACUAGACUGGACUACAACAUGUGGAUCUCGAUGAGUCUGAACAUGAUUAACAUGAUCGGGCAAUUUUUAGUGACUAAAACAGGUGGAUGAGGUAUUUUUACUCCCGUUGCAACGCACGGGCAUUUGUGCUAGUCUAUAUCUAUAUCAAUAUAAAAAGAAACAUGUCUCACCCGUUCAACCAUGUUUGUCCAAUAGUCUUUGAUUGUACCAAUCUUUAGCGCUAAAUAAGGUUAGCAAUUUCUCCUAAUUAAUAGCAUACCUUAUAUCAGACCCAGCUCAAGCCAAUUAAUUAUAUCCUACUCCUGCCAAAUAUUAUCAUGUAAUUGUCAUCUUCCAAAUAUUAGUGUGCAAUAUAGCCAAUAUAUUCUCUAAUACUGCAUAUACUUAAUUACCAGUGAGGAUUGUGAGUAUAGCUGGGCAUAUCUCGGGCCGAGCCAAAAAAAGCCCGGUGCUGAAAACCCAUGCCCGAGCCCAGCCCGACCGUCGGGCCUACUAAAUCGGACCCGAGCCCAAAAUGCCCGACACAGCCCGGUCGACCUGACCCGACUACGGCUAGAGUCUUGUUUUUCACAAGCCCGGCCCGAUCUUCUCGUCGGGCUCAAUUUUCAGGCCCAAGCCCAGUCCAAUGGCACGCUCGGGCUCGGCCCGGCCUGGGAUUUCGGGUCGGGCCAUCCGGGCCGGGCUGCCCAUGGCCAGGUAUAAUUGGUAGCCUUGCUCUCAUUCCCCAUCCUCUGCUCGUUGCAAAUUGCUGAUUUCCAGUCUCGUCCUACACCCUAAUGGCGCAGCCGGCGAUCCCAGAUGAACUCCUGGAGGAGAUCUUCAUCCGCCUCCCCACGGCCGCCGACCUCGCGCGCGCCUCCGCGGCCUGCGUCUCCUUCCGUCGCGUCAUCACCGGCCAUCCCUUCCUCCGCCGGUUCCGCACCCUCCACCCGCCGCCUCUCCUCGGCAUUGUCGGCGGCAGCCUCAUCCUCGCCAAGCCGCCUCACCCUUCUGCCGCCGCGGCAGCCACCUUUGCCGACGCCGACAUUCUGCUGGGAGGUUUGUCUGGAAGACACGCUGCUCGUGCUCGAUGCACAAAGGAUGGAGUUCUCCGCUGUUGACCUCCCGCCUCCACUUGGCCCUUGUAAGUGGGACAUGGCCAUUGUGGAGGCAGCAGAUGGAAGGCUUGGGAUGCUUACUAUCUCUGAGCAUCUGAUGAAGCUGGUGCGUUCCAAUACCAUCUCUUUUUUGAUGUACAGCACAAGGAUGAGAAUGGCGCAAACCAGUGGCAAUCCAAGUCCGUAAUCCCUUUGCCGGUGAAUUAUUGCUAUGUCAUCUUGGGUGUAUCUGGUGGAUACUUGCUCCUAAUUGGGUAUCCACAACAGAAUAGGCUGGUACUUGAUUAUUUUUCACUGAAUCUCCAGACAUUUCAGAUUGAGUGGUUCUGUCAGACUGGUCGCUGUGCCAUAACUGGCGGCCUGUAUGCCGAUCUCCCACCGUCCUUGUCCCCGCCAACUAUUUGAAGUGGGCUUGUCAGAGAAUAAUGCAGAUGGCAAGUGCGAUGCCAUGUUACGUAGGAUAAAUGUAAGAGCACUUGACAGCAAUUUGCAGCUGAUAGACAAUGCCUCUUUCAACCAUUGAAGAACAAGAGACAUGCAAUUGAUGUCCGCCGCAUCUGCCUUCUUUUCGCUGUCGAAGAUUUCGUAUCGUUAAAUCGUUUCUGCUAUUUGUGCAGUGCUUGCUUGGCAAGAGACUAGAUUUAGGGAUAAGCGAAUGGACUGAUUGGCUUGCAUACCUGUAGUGUCCAGCUUCAGUAGUGGCUUUUGCUUGCUUGAACUGAGUGGCAAGUAAGUUUUGCAGCUUUACUUGUAACCCUGGAAUAGUUUGCUUUUGCUGAUAUAUGAUUCUAGUACUAUGUAUUUAUGGCAUUACCCAAAGUCUACUUGUGCCGAUAUAUUAUGAUUCAUAUAUCUCUUUCAAAAGCAUGCAUA